AGAUUAAGCUAUAAAGAGUGCAUGGCGAAUGCCUUGGCAUCAGGAGUCGAAGAAGGUCGUGAUAAGCUGCGAUAAGCUCGGGGUAGACGCACAUAGUCUGUGAACCCGAGAUCACCGAAUGAGGCAACUCACUGGGGUAACCCCCAGUAUCCAUAGAUGAAUACAUAGUCUAUAGGAGGACAGACCCAGGGAACUGAAACAUCUAAGUACCUGGAGGAAGAGAAAGAAACAUCGAUUUCCCUAGUAGCGGCGAGCGAACGGGAAAGAGCCCAAACCGGAAACUUGUUUCCGGGGUUGCGGACAGUCUAUGAAGUACGAGACGUCUUUAGCAGAGCACAGCUGGAAAGCUGGACCACAGGGGGUAAUAGUCCCGUAUGCGAAAGAGAUGAACCGGAAAUGACUGAUCCAGAGUACCACGAGACACGUGAAACCUUGUGGGAAGCAGGGGGGACCACCCCCCAAGGCUAAAUACUACCUGAUGACCGAUAGUGAAGCAGUACCGUGAGGGAAAGGUGAAAAGAACCCCGGGAGGGGAGUGAAAUAGAACCUGAAACCGUGCACUUACAAACGGCUAGAGCACUAUUAGAAAGUGUGAUAGCGUGCUUUUUGUAGAACGAGCCAACGAGUUACGAUAUGUAGCAAGGUUAAGUACUUCAGGUACGGAGCCGAAGGGAAACCGAGUCUUAAUAGGGCAACAAGUUGCAUGUCGUAGACCCGAAACCGGGUGACCUAUCCAUGGCCAGGUUGAAGCGAGAGUAAAAUCUCGUGGAGGACCGAACCAAAUUGAUGUUGAAAAAUCAUGGGAUGAGCUGUGGAUAGCGGAGAAAUUCCAAUCGAACCCGGAGAUAGCUGGUUCUCCUCGAAAUAGCUUUAGGGCUAGCGUCGGAUAUAUGAGUUAUGGAGGUAGAGCACUGAAUGGGCUAGGGGGCAUAUCGCUUACCGAACCUUAUCAAACUCCGAAUGCCAUAUACUAUUAGUCCGGCAGUCAGACUGUGUAAGAUAAGUUUCAUAGUCGAAAGGGAAAAAGCCCAGACCGUCAGCUAAGGUCCCCAAGUAUAGAUUAAGUGGAAAAGGAUGUGGGAUUUCCAAGACAACUAGGAUGUUGGCUUAGAAGCAGCCACUCAUUAAAAGAGUGCGUAAUAGCUCACUAGUCGAGAGAUCCCGCGCCGAAAAUGUCCGGGGCUAAAAUCUAUCACCGAAGCUACGGGUGGCACCUUCAUGGUGCCGCGGUAGAGGAGCGUUCUGUACUGGCUGAAGCCAUACCGUAAGGAGUGGUGGACGGUACAGAAGUGAGAAUGUUGGCAUAAGUAGCGAGAUGCGGGUGAGAAUCCCGCAGGUCGAAAAUCUAAGGUUUCCUGAGGAAGGUUCGUCCGCUCAGGGUUAGUCGGGUCCUAAGCCGAGGCCGAGAGGCGUAGGUGAUGGACAAUCGGUUGAUAUUCCGAUACCACUAUGAAGCGUUUGACCGAAGGGGUGACGCAGGAGGAUAAGAUGUGCGUACGAUUGGAUUGUACGUCCAAGCACUGAGAAAGGACAGGGAGGCAAAUCCCUCUGUCCGCUACUUUCAAGGUGUUACGGGGAGAGGCCCACGGGCCUCGAGUAUCUGAUUUCACGCUGCCAAGAAAAGCCUCUAGGGAGUGACAUAGUGCCCGUACCGCAAACCGACACAGGUAGAUGAGGAGAGAAUCCUAAGACCAUCGGAAGAAUUGUUGUUAAGGAACUCGGCAAAUUAACCCCGUAACUUCGGGAGAAGGGGUGCCGGAGAGGAAUCUCCGGCCGCAGUGAAAUGGCCCAAGCAACUGUUUAGCAAAAACACAGGUCUCUGCUAAAGCGUAAGCUGAAGUAUAGGGGCUGACGCCUGCCCGGUGCUGGAAGGUUAAGGGGAUCACUUAGCGCAAGCGAAGGUGUGAACUUAAGCCCCAGUAAACGGCGGCCGUAACUAUAACGGUCCUAAGGUAGCGAAAUUCCUUGUCAGGUAAGUUCUGACCCGCACGAAUGGCGUAAU
rnacentral:rRNA from 1 species